ensembl:lincRNA
GAAGAAGAGAACGAGAGUAUGUUUCUAUACAGCAAGAUAUCAGGUGGUGCUGGUUAAUGCCAUUAGAGGUUGAAAAUUUAAUUUUAUCUCUUCAGAAGAACUAGUUUACAGAUGGAUAUGGAAAUGACAAUGUUGGCAUUUUUGAGAGGAUCAUAAUGCAGUUGAAUGAAUAUGAGUUACAUGAAAGAAGAAAGCACUUAAAUGUUAGAAAAAAGCUGUGUCAGCUGCUUUGGCUUUCCAUUGAUUGAGUGCUGACUUCUGCAACUGCCUUUGCAGCUGUUUCAGGCUCAAGUGCUACUUUGUCUUUUAAUUUCACAUUCUAGAAAUUAGUUACUUUAGUUUUAACUAGCUCACUUAUUAUUAAGCAAUAAAGUCCAUCUUUUCAGAAUGUCAUUUUUCUCCUUAGGAAAAGAAAGUGCGUAAGCAACAUAAAUAUACAACUUUGCGAAUCCAGUGGCAAAUUCUCUUCUGUUGCAAAGCCUUUAAGGUCCUGAAGAAAGAACUCCUUUUUAUAAAUAUUCUAAGACUUUUGUCACUGCACGGGCUUGCUACUUGUCGUGAGAGAAGGACCUGGUGAGGACAAAACGAAAUUCCUGUAAUCACCUCACCGGCACUCUCUUUUAUUCACCAAACGACCUGCAUAAUAGCAAAAGUGAACAGGGCACCUCUUUCUCUCUGUCUUUAUCCUGAGCUCCAAGACUGCAAUGAAAGGAGCCAAUGAUUUCUGAAUAGAAGACAGAGACGAGACACCCCUGCUGUCUGCCAGAGUGUUCAGGCCUGACUUCUUUCUCCAGACCCCACAUUGAUUCCCACUUCACAACACUUCACCUUCUUGCAAAUACCUAUACUGGAAGUCUAGGUUUUGAGGCCCUGGGUCCAAGGAGCACUUCUCAGAAGCAAGCAACCACAAAUCCUACAGCAGUACAGAACUGGAUGUGCCAACAUGGAAACAGGGAAGUGGAUGCCUUCUUAGACAAGCCUAUGGAUGAGAACCAACUCCAGAUGAUACCUCGACUGCUGCUCUGAAAGAUCCUAAUCAUAGGACCCAAGGAAGCUCUGCCUGGACUCCGGAGUCACACAAACAGAUGUGUUGUUUUAAUCCACUACAUUCAGUGGUGGUAAAUUGUGUUACACAGCAAUAAAUAAUGAAU